rnacentral:tRNA from 1 species
GGGCAAGUGGCGGAAAUGGCAUACGCGCAGCGCUUAGGACGCUGUCCCGCAAGGGUUGAGGGUUCGACUCCCUCCUUGCCCA